AGACACUGGACUGGUAAAGGCAGAGUCACGGGUGGAGGACAGCGAGCCUGGUUUAUGUUCACUUCUGUUGGCUUUCCAUGGGCUUGGCUGUAUUGAAGAGAACACAAAACACAGAGCAGUAAAUGCUCUGAGAGAAGAUACUGGAUGUGGAUAGCUAAACACAAUCUUUUCUAAUUCAAACACAACAGCUCCCUUGAUGCUGAAAGGAAAAACCUACAGUGACAUCAGCUAACAGCCUUGCACCAUUCUACAGAAAUCAGAACAGGAACCCAGAGGAUGGGUAGGUUUCUCUGAACAGCAGCUGAAGUGGAAGAGAGUGCUUUGCCACAAAUCAUCAGAAAAUCGAGUUUGCCUUCUCCUUGGUUUCUGCUGUAUUUGCAAUGGAACUACCAGAGGGUUCAGGAUAAAUCCUUUAGUCUUCUCCUAUAAUUAAGUAGAUUCUAGUAGAACCAGUACAUGUAUUAAAAAAUUAGGUAUUUGAUCAGCAGCUCAAAAAAUAAAAUA